CGCCUCCUGAUUAAUCAUAGGAGGUCAAGCCUGCCCAGUGACAUUGUUCAACGGCCGCGGUAUCCUAACCGUGCGAAGGUAGCGUAAUCACUUGUUCUUUAAAUGAGGACUAGUAUGAACGGCUUCACGAGGGCUACACUGUCUCCUUUAUCUAAUCAGUUAAACUAAUCUCCCCGUGAAGAAGCGGGGAUAAACCUAUAAGACGAGAAGACCCUAUGGAGCUUUAAACAUCUUAAAACACUCAUAUUUUAAAUCCAAAACUUCCAGAAAACUCUACUAAACCCAUCGAUUUGUUUUAAGUUUUAGGUUGGGGCGACCAAGGAGAAAAAAUCAACCUCCUCGUAGAAAGAAGCUUCUCUUCUAAGCAAAAAGCCACAUCUUUAUGCAUCAACAUAUUGACCUAAGUUGACCCAAUUGCUUGACCAACGAACCAAGUUACCCUAGGGAUAACAGCGCAAUCCGCUUUAAGAGCUCCUAUCGACAAGCGGGCUUACGACCUCGAUGUUGGAUCAGGGUAUCCUAGUGGUGCAGCAACUACUGACGGUUCGUUUGUUCAACGAUCAAAACCCUA
rnacentral:rRNA from 1 species